UGAAAUCUGCUCAGGUGAAUGUCGGAUAUCUGUCAAAAGCAGGCAUUGGACAGACACGUUAUCUGAGUCAGGAAGAG
ensembl:miRNA Gm44325 predicted gene, 44325